UGUCAAAUCUUUUUUCCUUCCCUGGGUUCUCGGCUCCCCCUUUUCGUUACCCUUUCCCCAAAGCUAUGGUAUCUCCCAUUCCAGAACCCCAAUUCCCCUCGAAGAUCCAAGUCUUUAAAACACAAAAAUGGUAAGUGGAGCCGGAGCAAUGGGAAUGCUUCUAGCUGUGUCUUCUGGGACUCAUUGCCGGGGGGUGGAGGUGGGGCCCGGGGAUAGGGGAAUUGAGGGAGGGCCUGUGAUCCUUCUGUCACCCCCACUUCCUCUCUGGUUAUUUUCAGGGUUCUCUGUCUGUACCUCUGCAUCAAACACCCUUCCCCUUCUUUUUUCUUCUUCAGGGGAACUUAGCAAUUCGGAUCCUUUUAAGUAUAACAAUUCAACUGGGAUCAGCUAUGAGACCCUGGGGCCGGAGGAGCUUCGCAGCCUGCUAACCACGCAAUGUGGGGUGAUUUCUGAACACACCAAGAAGAUGUGCACAAGGUCCCUGCGCUGCCCACAGCACACAGAUGAGCAGAGGCGAACCGUACGGAUUUAUUUUCUCGGGCCCUCGGCUGUCCUUCCAGAGGUCGAGAGCUC
rnacentral:sRNA from 1 species